rnacentral:rRNA from 1 species
AGAGUUUGAUCCUGGCUCAGAUUGAACGCUGGCGGCAGGCCUAACACAUGCAAGUCGGACGGUAGCACAGAGGAGCUUGCUCCUUGGGUGACGAGUGGCGGACGGGUGAGUAAUGUCUGGGGAUCUGCCCGAUAGAGGGGGAUAACCACUGGAAACGGUGGCUAAUACCGCAUAACGUCGCAAGACCAAAGAGGGGGACCUUCGGGCCUCUCACUAUCGGAUGAACCCAGAUGGGAUUAGCUAGUAGGCGGGGUAAUGGCCCACCUAGGCGACGAUCCCUAGCUGGUCUGAGAGGAUGACCAGCCACACUGGAACUGAGACACGGUCCAGACUCCUACGGGAGGCAGCAGUGGGGAAUAUUGCACAAUGGGCGCAAGCCUGAUGCAGCCAUGCCGCGUGUAUGAAGAAGGCCUUCGGGUUGUAAAGUACUUUCAGCGGGGAGGAAGGCGAUGCGGUUAAUAACCGCGUCGAUUGACGUUACCCGCAGAAGAAGCACCGGCUAACUCCGUGCCAGCAGCCGCGGUAAU